GACUUAGUGGCCGAGUGCCCUUGAGUUUAAUCCUUAAUACCCACCCCCCCCCACACACACACACAAAGAGAAUGUGUGCUACCAAGAUGUAAGCAUGGUAUCUUCUAUCAUCUAGUCCUGGAUGUGACACACUGUAACAUUUGCCAUAUUCUGUCACACAUGCUAACUCUGGUAUAAUGUGGGAGAAGAAAGCAAAGUGUGUGAAUGCCAGGAGAUGUGGAUCAUGGGGAGCCUUUGGGAGAUGACUCCCACGAGGACCUAGAAUAAUGCCCCGCACAGGAGGUCCUUAUGCAUUAGUAGUUACUAUUACUCUCACAAUGAUCCCAGCCAGGCUCGGAAGACAAGAUUUGGGUAUGAGAAGAUGAGAAAACUUGACAAAGCAGGAUGCAACUUGAAUUAGGCAACGCUCAGUUGCAUGAUAGAAGAGGGUGUGCUGGCCAAUGAGAGCAAUGGGAGACGACUUCCUGGCAGAAGCAGAGAGGAGGGGAGGGCCAUCCAGAGAGAAGACGGAAAGAGAGUGCCUCAGCUAUUGUUGGUUGCCUUCCUGUUAUCCUUCACCUUUUCUUCCCUGCAGUAGUAAGGUGCCUAGCCACAGAGGUAACCAAGCCAGAAAAGAAGUGUCUUCCCUUUUGCCAGCAAGUGGGCUAAGAGUAGACAUGUGACUCAUCUUGGCCAAUGAGAUGUGAGGGCUCCCUGAUUGGGAAAGCACUCCUCCUGGGUGAGUGAGUGGCUAAGAGGGGAACGAACAGACCCUUUUAGCUACCAGACCCUUCUGGCUCGGGAGGACAGAGCACUGAUGAACAUUAGUCUUCUUGUGAUCAUAAGAGCUAUCUCCCCCAAGCUUAGGACCCGAAACUCUCAGGUCAUCAGAGACAUUGUUGAAUCACCAGCCCAUCCCUGGCACCAUCUUCUUCUGGCCUCUUGUUAAGGAAACAAGAAGCUUAUGCCUAAGGCAGGUGGUCCCUUCUUUGCAUCCUAACUGAUUCAGGGAGCCAAGUACCCCUGCUCCCUCUGGACUUUUUCCUUUUUUUCUGAAGAAGGUAGUUAGAUGUUUUAGAUGGGAAGGCCCCUGGGCAGGAAGGCAGAAGUCCUUGGUCUAACCCUAGGUCUGCCUCUGAGCUGCUCUGUUAUCUUGAGCAAGUCCCUGCCCCGACUGGGCCUCCAAUAAUUAUAGCUAAUAUUUAUUGACUGCUUGCUGUGUGCCAAGCCCUCUAACAGCUUCCCUUGCAUUAUCUCGUUUAUCCUCACAUCAACUCUAUUGUGCUGGUGUUACUAUUCUUUUUAUUUUAGGGAUAAGGAAACAAAGACCCAAGUGACAAGAGGCUACACAGCAAGUCGGAGCUGGAUCUCUGCAUUGCAAAGCCAGGCUGAUCUCCCCCAGGUUCAGGCUCCCACCCAUCCUGCUGUGCUGCCUAGCAGCAAAAGGAAGUCUCUAGAAGGGCUGACCUCUAAGGGCCUCUCCAGUUCAAAUAUUCUUUGAUUUGCUGUCCCAUUUCUAGUUAGAUGAUCAACAAGCCAGCUUAUCCUAGAGAAGAAAGCAAUGAGGGCUGUCUUUAGCCAUCUGAAAAGCUGGCAUGUGAGUGGGAGAUUAGACUUGCACAGGGUAGCUCAGAGGAUAUGAACUGGACCAGUGUGGGAACAUUAUAGGGAGAGAGUCAACUUAUAUAAGGGAGAACCCUCCAGCUGCCACUUGAGCUAUGCCCAGAUGUAAUGACUUCCUUUUCAUGGAGGUUAUACAAGCCUGUGUUUGAUAAAUCUUUGUCAGAAGUCUGGCAUUGAGUGGAGAUGGAAAUGAGUGGCUUAAGACUUGUGGUGGGAAUUAAAUGGGAUAACAUGAGAAUACUCCUAGCACUGUAAUUGACACAGAUAAAGGGGGUCAAUGAACUGUUGGGGUCUACCCCCCCCCCGAUUUGACUCUGAAAUUCUUGGACUUUAAGAUUCUCUAAUACGGAUUUUUAGUUCUCUGACUCUAACCUUCUGCAGUUUUAUAAUUUCAAGACACUGAUUCUUCCCUGCUAAAAUGUUAUGGUUUUAAAACUUUUCCAUGAUUGUGUGGUUCAAAAUGCUGAGAAGUCUAUGAUUUUUAUAAUUUAAUAGUCUCUAGUUUUAACAAUUUAAUAUUCAAUAAAGUGUCUCUCACCAGCUUCAGAAACAUGAGGGAGUUGCCUCAAAUGCUAUGUUUCAGUGGCCUGGGCACUUAUCGGGUUCCUCCCUCUGCCCACUAUAUUCUCUGCCCUCCAUCUCCCACCCCAGUCUCAGGCUCUGCACUCUAACCACUGUCCUCCUAGAUCCCUGCCCCACCCCCACUCUGCUGUCUCUCAAGUCACAAGUGGGUGCAGUCAGUCCCUGUAUGCUGGUAGUCAUUCAUUAAACAAGAGCCUUUGCUAUAACCAACUUUGUCCUUAUUCCAAAGGGGAUAGGAGAGAAUGAGAAGACUAGGUCAUGCUUCUCAAAGGGCCUAAGAUCUAGGGACCCAGAUCUCUUGCUUUUCUUUAAACCCAACUCAAAC
rnacentral:lncRNA from 1 species